rnacentral:pre_miRNA from 1 species
GUAAUACUCACUCCGUCCCAAAAUUCUUGUCUUAGAUUUUUCUAAAUACGGAUGUAUCAAGUCACGUUUUAGUAUUAGAUACAUCCGACAAAUCUAAGACAAGAAUUUUGGGACGGAGGGAGUAUUAG